CGGUCAUAUGUUGAAACACCUGUUCCCGUACGGUCACUGAAGUUAAGCAACAGCGAGUAUGUUCAGUACCUAGAUGGGUGACCACUUGGGAAUG